UGGGGAAUAUUGGACAAUGGGCGAAAGCCUGAUCCAGCCAUGCCGCGUGUGUGAAGAAGGUCUUCGGAUUGUAAAGCACUUUAAGUUGGGAGGAAGGGCAUUAACCUAAUACGUUAGUGUUUUGACGUUACCGACAGAAUAAGCACCGGCUAACUCUGUGCCAGCAGCCGCGGUAAUACAGAGGGUGCAAGCGUUAAUCGGAAUUACUGGGCGUAAAGCGCGCGUAGGUGGUUUGUUAAGUUGGAUGUGAAAUCCCCGGGCUCAACCUGGGAACUGCAUUCAAAACUGACUGACUAGAGUAUGGUAGAGGGUGGUGGAAUUUCCUGUGUAGCGGUGAAAUGCGUAGAUAUAGGAAGGAACACCAGUGGCGAAGGCGACCACCUGGACUAAUACUGACACUGAGGUGCGAAAGCGUGGGGAGAAAACA
rnacentral:rRNA from 1 species